UACGUAGGGGGCAAGCGUUGUCCGGAAUUAUUGGGCGUAAAGAGCGUGUAGGCGGCCUGACAGGUCUGCUGUGAAAACUCGAGGCUCAACCUCGAGAUGUCGGCGGAAACCGUCUGGCUAGAGUCCGGAAGAGGAGAGUGGAAUUCCUGGUGUAGCGGUGAAAUGCGCAGAUAUCAGGAAGAACACCCGUGGCGAAGGCGGCUCUCUGGAACGCAACUGACGCUGAGACGCGAAAGCGUGGGGAGCAAACAGG
rnacentral:rRNA from 1 species